rnacentral:ribozyme from 11 species
CACACAACGAAAGCUUCAAACAAAAACGUGCAUAGAGAGAGAAGGGAAGAAUAUGUUUUUUUUUCAUCUUCGCUUGAAGCCUUCCGGCCGGUCUACCUCUUUCUCUUUCUCUUUCUCUCUCUCUUUCUUUCUAC